rnacentral:rRNA from 1 species
CCUACGGGUGGCAGCAGUGAGGAAUAUUGGUCAAUGGACGAAAGUCUGAACCAGCCAUGCCGCGUGCAGGAUGACGGCUCUAUGAGUUGUACACUGCUUUUGUAUUAGGAUAAACACUCCUACGUGUAGGGGCUUGAAAGUAUAAUACGAAUAAGGAUCGGCUAACUAGGUGCCAGAAGCCGCGGUAAUACGGAGGAUCCAAGCGUGAUCCGGAUUGAUUGGGUUUAAGGGGUGCGUAGGCGGUUUGAUAAGUUAGAGGUGAAAUACCGGUGCUCAACACCGGAACUGCCUGUAAUACUGUUGAGCUAGAGAGUAGUUGCGGUAGGCGGAAUGUAUGGUGUAGCGGUGAAAUGCUUAGAGAUCAUACAGAACACCGAUUGCGAAGGCAGCUUACCAAACUAUAUCUGACGUUGAGGCACGAAAGCGUGGGUAGCAAACAGGAUUAGAUACCCCAGUAGUC